rnacentral:tRNA from 1 species
GGGCGCGUAGCUCAGGUGGUAGAGCACCACCCUUUUAAGGUGGCUGUCGAAGGUUCGAAUCCUUCCGCGCUCA